GCUAUACUCAAAACAUGGUUUCAAAUAGCUAAGAAACAGACUUGGUUUUUCACUGAUGUUGAAGAUCCUGUAUAUCAAAAGCUGACUGAUGGUCAUAUGAUUAAUACGAAUUGCUCGUUCUCUCAUAGUAGAAGAGCACUUUGCUGUAAAAUGGCUGUUGAGUUUGAUGCUUUUUUGGACAGUGGUAAACGAUGGUUUUGUCAUUUUGACGAUGACAACUAUGUGAACGUUCCAAAACUUGUUCAAAUGCUGAGUGGUUACAGCCCCCAGAUGGAUUGGUACUUGGGAAGACCAAGCAUCCGUGCACCUUUAGAAAUUAUGCAGAAGGAGAGAUUUUUCAAGCGCAAAGCAUCUUUUUGGUUUGCAACGGGAGGAGCUGGAUUCUGCAUUAGUAGAGCUCUUGCACUGAAAAUGCUUCCUUUAGCAAGUGACGGAAAGUUAAUAACUAUUGGAGAGAACAUUCGACUGCCUGAUGAUGUCACUGUAGGAUAUAUAAUUGAACACAUAUUGGGUAAGAAAUUAACUGUUAUAGAACAAUUUCACUCACAUUUAGAAUCAAUGAAGUUUCUCCGUGCGGAAACGCUGCAAGAUCAGAUAUCAUUUAGUUUUUCACGGAACAAGGGCGAAUGGAAUGUAGUGAACGUAAAUGGAUUCGAUCAUAAAGAUGAUCCAAACCGAUUUCUGUCGCUGCACUGUUUGUUGUUUCCAAACUACAGCUUUUGUCCAAGAUGACGAAGAAAUAGUGGCUGAAAUUGGCUAGUGUUGUUAAAUGUGAAAUUAACUGUGAUUCCAAAUGGAUAUAAGUCGUUGAAAACAGUCAUUAAGUGAAUGGGGAGUUGCAAUUGCAUUCGCAUUGCGAUUUUUAUAAGGACCAUCAAAUGCCGCGCUCGAAUAUAUGAAUAGGAAUUCAUAUCUCUUCGAGCUGGAUUUAGCAGCUCAUUUGUGAUUGUUCAAGAAUUAGAUGAAGAUGCGCCAAAGCUA